AUUUUGAGGAGGUGAGCAACUUGUUAAUCCANUUUGACCGUCCGUCUUAUUUAAAAAAAUUAUAAAAAAAAUUAAAAAGAUAAGUCACGCAUAAAGUAUUAAUCAUGUUUUAUCAUCUAACAACAAUGAAAAUACUAAUUAUAAAAAAAUUUCAUAUAAGACGGACAGUUAAACGUUGGCAUGAAAAUUCAGGUUUUGCCUUUUU
rfam:Oryza glumipatula chromosome 12, whole genome shotgun sequence.